AUGAGACCCAAAAUAUCGGAUUUUGGAAUGGCAAGGAUUUUUGGUGAUAACCAGCAACAAGCGAAUACUAGGCAUGUUGUCGGGACAUACGGUUACAUGUCGCCUGAAUAUGCGAUGGAAGGCAUUUUUUCUGUCAAGUCUGAUGCGUAUAGCUACGGUGUCUUGCUUCUGGAGAUUGUAAGUGGGUUAAAGAUCAGCUCGCCGCAUCACCUUAUAAUGGAUUUUCCAAACCUUAUAGAUUAUGCAUGGAACUUCCUGAAAGAAGGAAAAUCCGAGGAUUUCCUAGACACAGUGCUUCCGGAGAGCUGCUCACUGCAUCAAGUGUCUCUGUGCAUCCAUAUUGGCCUUCUGUGUGUCCAAGACUGCCCAAGUGCCAGGCCACUAAUGUCGUUAGUCGUGUCUAUGCUGGACAACGAGGCCAUGCCACUCACAACACCAGAGCAGCCGUUAUAUUCCGUCGGGAGGAAACAUGCUGCAGAAGAAGCAAGGGAGAACUCUGUCAACAAUGCAAGCCUGACGACGCUAGCAGGGCGCUAG
rnacentral:rRNA from 1 species